UACGGAGGGUGCAAGCGUUAUCCGGAUUCACUGGGUUUAAAGGGUGCGUAGGUGGGUUGGUAAGUCAGUGGUGAAAUCUCCGAGCUUAACUUGGAACUGCCGUUGAUACUAUCAAUCUUGAAUAUCGCGUAGGUAAGCGGAAUAUGUCAUGUAGCGGUGAAAUGCUUAGAUAUGACAUAGAACACCAAUUGCGAAGGCAGCUGGCUACACGAAUAUUGACACUGAGGCACGAAAGCGUGGGGAUCAAACAGG
rnacentral:rRNA from 1 species